UACGUAGGGUCCGAGCGUUGUCCGGAAUUAUUGGGCGUAAAGGGCUCGUAGGCGGUCUGUUGCGUCGGGUGUGAAAACUUGCAGCUUAACUGUGAGCGUGCUUUCGAUACGGGCAGACUUGAGGUAUUCAGGGGAGAACGGAAUUCCUGGUGUAGCGGUGAAAUGCGCAGAUAUCAGGAGGAACACCGGUGGCGAAGGCGGUUCUCUGGGAAUAUCCUGACGCUGAGGAGCGAAAGUGUGGGGAGCGAACAGG
rnacentral:rRNA from 1 species